rnacentral:misc_RNA from 1 species
GAUGAAGAACGUAGCGAAAUGCGAUAAGUAAUGCGAAUUGCAGAAUUCAGUGAGUCAUCGAAUCUUUGAACGCACAUUGCGCCCUGUGGUAUUCCGCAGGGCAUGCCUGUUCGAGCGUCAUUUCAACCCUCAAGCUCUGCUUGGUGUUGGGCCCUGCCCGCUGCGGCCGGCCCUACAGACAGUGGCGGUGCCGCCUGGCCCUGAGCGUAGUACAUCUCUCGCUCCAGUGCCCGGUGGUAGCCUGCCAGAACCCCAACUCUCGUGGUUGACCUCGGAUCAGGUAGGGAUACCCGCUGAACUUAAGCAUAUCAAUAAGCGGAGGA